GUUUCAUUUAAAAAUCACACUAUUUUGUUCAUGACAGAAGAGUUAAAGGAACAUAUUCCAAAAUAACUGGCUGCAAAUUGAAUAAUUUUAUGCCCCCAAGUUCUUCUAAUCUACAGCUUUUAUUUCAUUUCCCUAUCAUUUCCUUCUCCACAGUUGCUGGAAAUUUCUGUUUUUUCCCCAGCAGAGGGUGCAAAAAUAUUAAACCUUGGAAGCACUGCAGAAAAGGGUAAACUUGAAAACCCUGAAAAAUAGAGGCAAAAAUAUUUGUUAACUGCUCAUGGCAUUGGACUUGAUCAUGAAGAAGGGAAAUGACAAGCACUGGUGCUCCGAGACAGAAGCACAGGAUUCAGAUGUGUUUAUGCAGGAAGAUUUGCUCCUUGAGACCUCUGCCAUCACUGUCAGAAAAAGCUAUCCUGAGUAAUUGCUGUAUCGUCAGCCAGAUUCUGAGUCAACACAAGUAGUACAGACUGAAUCAAAUUCAAUAAGGAGCCAAGCCCAGCUAGAACCACACUUGAAGUAUUGCUCUCUAACUAAACACAGCUAGAUCAACUCAACCACAGAUAUGUGAGUAUGAAUAAAUGAUUUUUAAGCCAAAAUGUCUAGGGACA
rnacentral:lncRNA from 1 species